CCUACGGGAGGCAGCAGUGAGGAAUAUUGGUCAAUGGACGAGAGUCUGAACCAGCCAAGUAGCGUGAAGGAUGACUGCCCUAUGGGUUGUAAACUUCUUUUAUAAAGGAAUAAAACGAGGCACGUGUGCCUUUUUGCAUGUACUUUAUGAAUAAGGAUCGGCUAACUCCGUGCCAGCAGCCGCGGUAAUACGGAGGAUCCGAGCGUUUUCCGGAUUUAUUGGGUUUAAAGGGAGCGUAGAUGGGUUGUUAAGUCAGUGGUGAAAGUUUGCGGCUCAACCGUAAAAUUGCAAUUGAUACUGGCAGUCUUGAGUACAGUUGAGGUAGGCGGAAUUCGUGGUGUAGCGGUGAAAUGCUUAGAUAUCACGAAGAACCCCGAUUGCGAAGGCAGCUUACCAAACUGUGACUGACAUUGAUGCUCGAAAGUGUGGGUAUCAAACAGGAUUAGAUACCCGAGUAGUC
rnacentral:rRNA from 1 species